rnacentral:tRNA from 1 species
GCUGAUGUAGCUCAGUCGGUUAGAGCACUCGGCUCAUAUCCGAGUUGUCGUGGGUUCAAGUCCCUCCAUCAGCAUCA